rnacentral:rRNA from 1 species
CUGAUACCGCCCAAGAGUUCAUAUCGACGGCGGUGUUUGGCACCUCGAUGUCGGCUCAUCACAUCCUGGGGCUGAAGUAGGUCCCAAGGGUAUGGCUGUUCGCCAUUUAAAGUGGUACGCGAGCUGGGUUUAGAACGUCGUGAGACAGUUCGGUCCCUAUCUGCCGUGGGCGCUGGAGAAUUGAGGGGGGCUGCUCCUAGUACGAGAGGACCGGAGUGGACGCAUCACUGGUGUUCGGGUUGUCAUGCCAAUGGCACUGCCCGGUAGCUAAAUGCGGAAGAGAUAAGUGCUGAAAGCAUCUAAGCACGAAACUUGCCCCGAGAUGAGUUCUCCCUGAGACUUUAAGUCUCCUGAAGGAACGUUAAAGACGAUGACGUUGAUAGGCCGGGUGUGUAAGCGCAGCGAUGCGUUGAGCUAACCGGUACUAAUGAACCGUGAGGCUUAACCUUACAACGCCGAAG